rnacentral:tRNA from 1 species
ACCUACUUAAUCCAAUGGUUAGAGUAUUGCUUCCAUACGGCAGGAGCCAUUGGUUCAAAUCCAAUAGUAGGUA